GACAGAGGGGGCAAGCGUUGCUCGGAAUUACUGGGCGUAAAGGGCGCGUAGGCGGCCAUCUAAGUCGAACGUGAAAUCCCCGGGCUUAACCUGGGAAUUGCAUUUGUGACUGCACGGCUAGAGUGUGUCAGAGGGGGGUAGAAUUCCACGUGUAGCAGUGAAAUGCGUAGAUAUGUGGAGGAAUACCGAUGGCGAAGGCAGCCCCCUGGGAUAACACUGACGCUCAUGCACGAAAGCGUGGGGAGCAAACAGG
rnacentral:rRNA from 1 species